rnacentral:lncRNA from 1 species
CAGACAUUUUAUUUAUUUUAUUUUUAUUUGCUGUAGAGAUGAGGUCUCACCAUGUUGCCCGGGCUGGUUUCAAACUCCUGGCCCCAGGCAGUCCUCCCACAGGGAAACUCAGACAUUGUAAUAACUGCUGGCAAGCAUGGACAAAGGAAAUUCAUAAACACACCUAGAUUAACAGUCAUUUUAAUACUGAGGUAGUCAGUGUUUUCACAGAAUUACAGGUAAAGAUGGUAACCACGUUUUCAUUCCUGAGUUAAACAAGAAAGUACUCACGUGGCAUGAUAAAGAAUCCCUCCUCUAAACCAAUAACCAACAUCAAAAUUAGCAGUGGAAUCAUAAAGUCAUGUGUGAUAGAUGUUUCCAUUAAUGUCCCAGUAAGUCAGACUUUCCAGCAUCCGUGCUCUUGCUAGUUCCCUCCCAUAUUGACGUUGGUUUGGCUUUUGCUUUGCCUUUUGACCUCUUCUACAUCCCCUCAUUCACUCUGCUACUGCUAAACAGGUUAGCGGUGUCAGAAGGGUCUUCCCUCUAUCUGUUCGGUGCCUGGAACAUUCUUGCCCAGAUAUUUGCAUAGGAGCACAGCUGGCUCCCUCAUCUUUUAUUCAGGUCACCUCACGAGGCCACUCCUGUCUAUUUUAAAGCUGCAAGCUUCUUGGUUGCAGUUUUUUUUUCUUUUUGAGACAGGGUCUUGCUCUGUCACCCAGGCUGGAGUGCAGUGGCAUGAUCACGGCUCACUGCAGCCUCAACCCCCCAGGCUCAUGUGAUCCUACCACUUUGGCCUCCAGAGUAGCUGGGACUACAGGUAUAGGCCACCACGCCUGGCUAAUGUUUGUAUUUUUAGUAGAGGUGGGGUUUCACCACCAGAGGUGGGGUUGCCCAGGCUGGUCUCAAACUCCUGACCUCAGGUGAUCAGCCCGCCUCGGCCUCCCAAAGUGCUGGGAUUACAGGUGUGAGCCACCACACCCAGCCAGUCCUCUUUGUCUUAACCUUCACAAGGAAACUUUGAAAUGAUACCCACUUUUUGUUACUGCUUUCCUCAGGCCUUUUCUGUCUUUAAAACCAACCUCUUCUGCUCAGCUUAUUGAACGCUCAUUGUGGGGCCAGGGGCCUAAACUCAUGCCUGUAAUCCCAGCACUUUGGGAGGCCAGGGUUGGCAGAUUGCUUGAGUCCAGGACUUCGAGACCAGCCAGGGCGACAUGGCAAAACCUUGUCUCUACAAAAAAAACUAGCUCUACCCCAAAAACUAGCUGAGUGUGGUGGCACACACCUACCAUCCCAGCUACUGGGGAGGCUGAGGCAAAAGGAUCACUUUAGCCAGGGAGUUGGAGGCAGGAGUGUGCUGAGAUUGCAAUACUGUGCUCCAGCCUGGGCAACAGUGAGACCAUAUCUCAAAAAAAGAGGAAACACUCAUUCUGUUUCACAGAAUGGUUUAGAGAAUGGUGUGUUGCCUGAUUCUAUGAUCACAAGUCAGUUAAGAUCUUUAAAGUAAAUAUUAUUGUCUUUUGGUAAUAGCAAUUAUCACCAUGUAAUGUACUACUUUAAAUUUAUUGUUUAUUGGCUCCUCCACCUCCUCAGCACAGGUACUUUGUGUUUGUUUUCUCAUUUUUUUUUUUUGAGACAGAGUUUCGCUCUUGUUGCCCAAGCUGGAGUGCAAUGUCGUGAUCUCGGCUCACUGCAACCUGUUUCCUGGGUUCAAGUGAUUCUCCUGCCUCAACCUCCCAAGUAGCUGGGAUUACAGGCAUGUGCCACCACGCCCAGCUAAUUUUGUAUUUUUAGUAGAGACAGGGUUUCUCUCUGUUGGUUCUGCUGGUCUCUAACUACUGACCUCAGGUGAUCCGCCCGCCUCUGCCUCCCAAAGUGCUGGGAUUACAGGCGUGAGCCACCGCACCCAGCCAUACUUUUGUUUUAUACUCUGUUGUACCCUCAGCCUAGCACACAUUAGGCACCUAGGAAGAAUUUGAGAAACGAAUCAAUUAAUCUCCACUUUACCAAUAAUGAGCAAGAACAGAAAUUAGGGCCGGGCGCGGUGGCUCACGCCUGUAAUCCCAGCAUUUUGGGAGACCAAGGCAGGUGGAUGAUUUGAGGUCAGGAGUACUAGACUAGACUGGCCAAUAUGAUGAAACCCUGUCUCUAGUAAAAAUACAAAAAUUAGCCGGGUGCGGAGGCUCACACCUGUAAUCCUAGCACUUUGGAAGGCCAAGGCGGGCGGAUCACUUGAGGUCACGAUUCCAAACCAGCCUGGCCAACAUGGUGAAACCCCGUCUCGACUAAAAAUACGAAAAAAUUAGCUGGGCAUGGUGGCGGGCGCCUAUAAUUCCGGCUACUCGAGAGGCUGAGGUGGGAGAAUCGCUUGAACCUAGGAGGCGGAGUUUGCAGUGAGCCGAGAUCACACCACUGCACUCCACUCUGGGUGACAGAGCGCGACUGUCUCAAAAAAGAAAAAAAGAAGACUGAAAAAUUGGGCAACCUGUCCAAGAACACCACAGCGACAAUUAGCAAAGCUGGGAUUCCAACCCAGGUCUAUCUAAGAGCCACAGCAUUGUAUUUUCUUUUCUUUCUUUCUGUGACUGCACCUUUCACCAUAGAUGGCAUCCAGGACUCAGAGCAAUCAGCAUGUAGCUACUGUUUUUAAUAUUCCUUACAUGGGAAUCACAUAAAGAAAGUAAACAGUAUCCAAUUUGUGACUCAACCAUUCAUACUUUGUGACACUGGUUAAUUAUUUCACUUCUGGGUCUCAGUUACGCUUUUUUUUUUUUUUUUUCUUUUUGAGACAGGGUCUCGCUCUGCUCUGUCACCCGGGCUGGAGUUCAGUGGAGGGAUCUCUGCACCCUCAACUUCCUGGGCUAUCAAGCGAUCCUCCCACCUCAGCCUCCCCAGUAGUUGGGACCACAGGUGCCCGCCAUCAUGCCCGGCUGAUUUGUAAAAUUUCUUUUGUAGAGAUGGGGGCUCUCCCUCUGUGGCCCAGGGUGGUCUCGAACUCCUGGCCUCAAGCGAUCCUCCUGCCUGGGCCUCCUAAAGAUUCAGCUGCUUUUGGAUCAAACGAUUGGCUUAAGACCCUUUAACUCGAACACCUGUCACAUCCUAGGAUCCGCGAAGGACUGAAACAGAGUUUCUGAAGCGUCCCUCGGCGCAGUGGCUCCGCUCCACCUCCCAUUCGCGCUUCCACCGUGGCCUCGGCUCCAGGAGUCGCCGCGGUGCCGGCGUCGCCCUCCCGCUGCUGCGCAUCGGGAGCCGGAAGUAGGGACUGAGCCACAGACUAGGAAACGUUGGUUUCUCCGGGGCUCCCCAGCGCCCCAGCUUUAGCGCGGAGGCUACCCUCUUCUAUUUGCUCUUGGGCGUCAGAGCGGCACCCUACUCUGUGUAAGCCUUUGGAUCCCGCUCGCACUUCCUCCCGUCAUCAGCCAAAGGCCCCGGAAGUGAUGUUUGCGCGCCGUGCGUUACGGGCGUGCGCUGGCGGUGCCGGGGGGGCGGGGCAAGCAGGGGGUGUGUGUGAGGCUGGAGCGGACUGGGGAACCCAGACCUGCCGAGCGACGUGGGCGAGCGGUGACCUGGACCACGGCGCAGACGCGGGCGAGCUGCGGCUCGGACGCCAGCGGACACGCGGGCGAGAUCACUUUGGGAAGCAGUGACAUCCAACCUGUAUCAAGUCUUCUAAUCUGUGAACAUGAGAUGGGUCUCGGCUGUGUUACCUAAGCUGGAGUGCAGUGGCUAUUCCCAGCACAAUCAUAGUGCACUACAGUCUCCAACUCCUGGGUUCAGGUGCUCCUUGUGCCUCCGCCUCCUGAAUAGCUGGGAUUGCAGGCAUGUGCCAUCAUGCCUGGCUAUGUGCCUUCAAAAAGACUACAGUUGUGGAUGGAGUGUUUUAUCAAUAUUAGUUGGUUUAUGAUUGUGUUUAGUUCCAUAUCCUAGCUGAUUUUCUAUCUGUUCUGUCCAUUCUUGAAGAGUCCAACUAUAAUUUUGAGUUUGUCUAUUUCUCCUCAAGUUCUGUCAGUUUUGCUGUAUAUAUUUGAGGUCUGUUUUUAGAUGUGUACACAUUUUAAAUGGUGUUGGGUCUUUACCAUUAUGUAAUGUCCCUCUUAAUCUAUUGUAAAUUUCCUUGCUUUGAGGUAUAGUUUGUCUUAUGUAAAUAUAAUCAGUUCAGUUUUCCUUUGACCAGCAUUUACGUAACAUAUCUUUUUCCAUUUUUAAACUUAUAAUCUACCUAUAUUAAAAUAUAUAGUCAGGCCAGGUGCAGCGGCUCAUGCGUGUAAUCCCAGCACUUUGGGAGGCCGAGGCAAGCAGAUCACUUGAGGCCAGGAGUUUGAGACCAGCCUGGGCAACGUGACGAAAACCUGUCUCUACCAAAAAUGCAAAAAAUUAGCUAGGUGUGGCGGCAUGUGCCUGUAGUCCUAGCUACUCAGGAGGCUGAGGCAUGAGGAUCGCUUGAACCUGGGAGGCAGAGGUUGCAGUGAGCCAAGAUGGCACCACUGCACUCCAGGCUGAGUGAAAGAGCAAGACUCUGUCUCAGAAUAAAUAAAUAAAUAAAUAAAACAGCAGCAACAAAAUGUAUAGUCAUGUCUUUUUUUAAAAAAAACUCUUCUGUCAUUGUCUUUUAGUUGGUGUGAAUAGACCAUUUACAUUCAUUGUUAUUGUUGAUGUACUUGGAUUUAGGUCUAUCAUUUUGUUAUUUUCUGUUUGCUCUCUUUUGUUUGUUUGAGACAGGAGACAAGGUCUUGCUCUGUUGCCCGGGCUGGAGUGCAGUGGUGCAAUCUCGGUUCACCACAAGCUCUGUCUCCCAGGCUCAAGUGAUCCUUGUGCCUCAGCCUCCUGAGUAGCUGGCACUACAGGCGACCACUGCCAUACCCCACUAAGUUUUGUAUUUUUAGUAGAGACGGGGUUUCGCCAUGUUGGCCAGGCUAGUCUCAAACUCCUGGCCUCAGGUGAUCCGCCCGCCUCAGCCUCCCAAAGUGCUGGGAUUACAGGCGUGAGCCACUGCAUGUGGCUGCUCUCUGUUUUUUAUGCCUCACUGUUUCCUUUCCUGCCUUCUUUUGGGUUAUUUGACUAUUGCUUAGUAUUCAAUUUUAAUUUAUCAAUUGAUUAUUUUAUUAUAUCUCUUUGUGUAGUGUUCUUUAGUGGUGGCUCUAAGAAUUACAGUAUGUACACCAAACUUUUUACUUUCUGCUUAGAAUUAAUAUUUUACCACUUGUAAAAUGUAGGAACCUGGCUAUCAUGUAGGUUCCUUUCCCCUGUCCUUACUAUGUUGUAGUUAUCAUAUGUAUUGCAU